rnacentral:rRNA from 1 species
GAUGAACGCUGGCGGCGUGCCUAAUACAUGCAAGUCGAGCGAACAGACGAGGAGCUUGCUCCUCUGACGUUAGCUGCGGACGGGUGAGUAACACGUGGAUAACCUACCUAUAAGACUGGGAUAACUUCGGGAAACCGGAGCUAAUACCGGAUAAUAUAUUGAACCGCAUGGUUCAAUAGUGAAAGACGGUUUUGCUGUCACUUAUAGAUGGAUCCGCGCCGCAUUAGCUAGUUGGUAAGGUAACGGCUUACCAAGGCAACGAUGCGUAGCCGCCCGGAGAGGGGGAUAGGCCACACUGGCAGGGAGAGACGGCCCAGACCCCUAAGGGAGGAAGCAGGAGGGAACUUGCCGCAAUGGGCGAAAGCCUGACGGAGGAACGCCGAGUGAGUGAUGAAGGUCUUCGGAUCGUAAAACUCUGUUAGUAGGGAAGAACAAAUGUGUAAGUAACUAUGCACGUCUUGACGGUACCUAAUCAGAAAGCCACGGCUAACUACGUG